rnacentral:lncRNA from 1 species
GCCCACGAAAUCCUUCCAACCCUCUCACUUGUCUCCAAUCUCUCACUUGUCUUCCCAGGCCCAUUGGGAGAGCUCUUCUUGAAGUCAGAGACAGAGCAGUGGGAACUGAGACUUCUUCCCAUCCUGUGCCGUUUGUCCCCAGACCACUGUCCCUCUGGGUCAUGUCCUCCUGCUUCAUAUGAAGCAACAGAAUGCACCGGGAGGUUCGGUCACGGGUCCCAAGUCACACAGCAAGUAAUUAGCAGAGAAGAAAUUCGAACCCGUGAUGCUGACUCAGAAUCUGACUCGAGAACAUGCAGGUCCUUAAAAGUAAACCUGAAACUAUGUAAAAUUACAUACUACAUGGAAAUAAUUGUAUAAGGCUUGGGUGGUGGAAUUUUAAUUAUGGUGUUUUCCUUUCCUUUCCUUUUAUUUUCU